GUGAUAGAUAGAUCAUACAACAAAAAUACAACUAACUAAAUAAAUAGUAAUGAUUUUCAAUCUUUAGAAUUCUGUAAAAACAUUUUACACAUUUUUUUUUUCAUCCUGAAAUCCAAAAUUUUUAAGGGUAAAUUACUUUAAAAUGUCCUAAAAACUAAAAAUCUAUGUAAAGAAUAAGCAGUAAGUGGCAUUUUUUUAAAUGCAAAAAUUCUAAAUGUUUUACUAUUACAGGUGAAGUUAGUCUGAAAUAAUUCUAAGUGACUUUAUUUCAAACAGUAGUCAUCUAUGCAUGUCCUCAGAUAGUUAAAUGUGUGUACGCAUGUUUUUCACUGGCUGUCAGAUUUCUCUCUGUGUGCAGCAGCUCUAAAUUCCCACGGAAGCUCAAAAACCGGUAUUGAAAGCAGGGUAGAAAUAGAUUAUGCAUGCAAAGAGAUGCGUGGGAAAAUGAAAAGAUGAAAAAACGCAAGACAGAGAGAGAGAGACAGCGGAGAAAUCUCCUGUUUCAGGGCCGUCCACCUCUACCGUGCGUAUCUGCCGUGAAAAGCCUCAAUUAAAAACCUCUGCUCUCUCGCACGAUAAUACUCAUCCAUUAUACAUCAAAGCGGCGCCGUGCAGCCUCAGUCUAAAGUGUGCUCUUGUGUGUCUACCGCCGCAUAUCCACGCGGGUUCUGCUGGUACCUGCUGCUUUUAGUAGCGUGAGAGGAUUGAUUCCUGAAAUAGGUUCCUCACGAUCCCACUCUUUCCUCUUGCUCCCAUCCUCGCCACCGGAGGCCCAGCGCCUUCUUGCUUCGCUGCUGCUGGAACUAACAAGGACCACACCAUGGUCCAUCUCUUCAUGAUCAGAGCCAGAGGUCGAGGCGAUGGGCAGACUGGAAGUGCUUUUCGUCCUCUGUUCAGUGACUUUGACCACUAAAGCUUUUCUGUGUCCAUCGGCGAGGCUAUUCAUCGCUGGACUCAGAGGCCUGGAGUUUGUGUGCGUGACCUUCCUGGAAGUGAUAGUGAUGGAUGAUAUCGAGGAGCUGAAGGACUCCGGCGCACUUCCACGCCUGCAUGUGGGAUUUCUCAACAUGGGAUGUGGUCCAGCGUGGCAUGUGUCUAUCUCGGCUUUCGGAUUCCAGGCUUGUGGUCCAUUUCGUCCUCCCUCAGUGCUCACGGAUCCCGAAGCCUG
ensembl:lncRNA